rnacentral:rRNA from 1 species
CCUACGGGUGGCAGCAGUGGGGAAUAUUGCACAAUGGGCGAAAGCCUGAUGCAGCAACGCCGCGUGAAGGAAGAAGGGUUUCGGCUCGUAAACUUCUAUCAACCGGGACGCAAGAAGUGACGGUACCUGAAUACGAAGACCCGGCUAACUACGUGCAAGCAGCCGCGGUAAUACGGAGGGGGCAAGCGUUAGCCGGAAUUACUGGGUGUAAAGGGUGAGUAGGAGGCAUGGUAAGCCAGAUGUGAAAGCCUUGGGCUUAACCCGAGGAUCGCAUUUGGAACUAUCAAGCUAGAGUACAGGAGAGGAACGCGGAAUUCCUAGUGUAGCGGUGAAAUGCGUAGAUAUUAGGAAGAACACCAGUGGCGAAGGCGGCUUUCUGGACUGAAACUGACGCUGAGGCACGAAAGCGUGGGGAGCGAACAGGAUUAGAUACCCGUGUAGUC